CCUACGGGAGGCAGCAGUAAGGAAUAUUGGUCAAUGGGCGGAAGCCUGAACCAGCCAUGCCGCGUGCAGGAAGACGGCCUACGGGUUGUAAACUGCUUUUAUACGGGAAUAUGUACUGUAAGAAUAAGGAUCGGCUAACUCCGUGCCAGCAGCCGCGGUAAUACGGAGGAUCCAAGCGUUAUCCGGAUUUAUUGGGUUUAAAGGGUGCGUAGGCGGUUUAUUAAGUCAGGGGUGAAAGACGGCAGCUUAACUGUCGCAGUGCCUUUGAUACUGAUGAACUUGAAUAUACUAGAAGUAGGCGGAAUGUGACAAGUAGCGGUGAAAUGCAUAGAUAUGUCACAGAACACCGAUUGCGAAGGCAGCUUACUAUGGAUAUUGACGCUGAGGCACGAAAGCGUGGGGAUCAAACAGGAUUAGAUACCCUUGUAGUC
rnacentral:rRNA from 1 species